GGUUAAGCGACUAAGCGUACACGGUGGAUGCCCUGGCAGUCAGAGGCGAUGAAGGACGUGCUAAUCUGCGAUAAGCGUCGGUGAGGUGAUAUGAACCGUUAUAACCGGCGAUUUCCGAAUGGGGAAACCCAGUGUGUUUCGACACACUAUCAUUAACUGAAUCCAUAGGUUAAUGAGGCGAACCGGGGGAACUGAAACAUCUAAGUACCCCGAGGAAAAGAAAUCAACCGAGAUUCCCCCAGUAGCGGCGAGCGAACGGGGAGGAGCCCAGAGCCUGAAUCAGUGUGUGUGUUAGUGGAAGCGUCUGGAAAGGCGUGCGAUACAGGGUGACAGCCCCGUACACAAAAAUGCACAUAUUGUGAGCUCGAUGAGUAGGGCGGGACACGUGGUAUCCUGUCUGAAUAUGGGGGGACCAUCCUCCAAGGCUAAAUACUCCUGACUGACCGAUAGUGAACCAGUACCGUGAGGGAAAGGCGAAAAGAACCCCGGCGAGGGGAGUGAAAAAGAACCUGAAACCGUGUACGUACAAGCAGUGGGAGCCUCUUAAUGGGGUGACUGCGUACCUUUUGUAUAAUGGGUCAGCGACUUAUAUUCUGUAGCAAGGUUAACCGAAUAGGGGAGCCGAAGGGAAACCGAGUCUUAACUGGGCGUUAAGUUGCAGGGUAUAGACCCGAAACCCGGUGAUCUAGCCAUGGGCAGGUUGAAGGUUGGGUAACACUAACUGGAGGACCGAACCGACUAAUGUUGAAAAAUUAGCGGAUGACUUGUGGCUGGGGGUGAAAGGCCAAUCAAACCGGGAGAUAGCUGGUUCUCCCCGAAAGCUAUUUAGGUAGCGCCUCGUGAAUUCAUCUCCGGGGGUAGAGCACUGUUUCGGCAAGGGGGUCAUCCCGACUUACCAACCCGAUGCAAACUGCGAAUACCGGAGAAUGUUAUCACGGGAGACACACGGCGGGUGCUAACGUCCGUCGUGAAGAGGGAAACAACCCAGACCGCCAGCUAAGGUCCCAAAGUCAUGGUUAAGUGGGAAACGAUGUGGGAAGGCCCAGACAGCCAGGAUGUUGGCUUAGAAGCAGCCAUCAUUUAAAGAAAGCGUAAUAGCUCACUGGUCGAGUC
rnacentral:rRNA from 1 species